ACUAUUUGACACCAACCAAACGUCGUUACCGUCGACUUAUUUGUAUAUUAAUCCUCUUUUUUCUACCAUUGGGAUGUGGGCGACCUAGUAACUCCAACUCGCAGCCAUUCUUCUACUUUAUCUUUAACAACUUUACAUUCAUUCAUUGGUAAAAGUGUCGUUGACGACCAUACGAUGGAAAUAUAUAUAUAAUUAUGAUGAUUAAAGCUGGUAGCUCAAUGGGAAAUAAUUAUAUGGAAAAUAUUUCGUCAUAAGUAAGUUUCCGUAUAGUUUAAGCAAUAAUUGUGCCUAUAGCUUUGCUGCUAACUGAAAAUACUACGUGGAAGUGAACUUGCAGAUAAAGAGUGCGGGAAAAUUGAAGGAAUGAUACUUGCUAGUAAAAAAAUAGUCAAUCGCAAUACGGUGUUAAAUUACCUAGAUUUGAUCCUAAAAAUUAUAAUUGAACUAAAUGCAGUGGUGGCAUCCCAACCGUAUAUUAGGGGACCAAGCGGUUUAUACAAUAUUUAGCAAGUAGUGAAGAUAUGAGUCACAGGUUAAUAAAGUCAGAUCGCUGUAGGUUGUAAUUGAUAAAUGCACAUGUCAUCGCAAAGCUAGGUAGUUCGGCAGCAAUGGGAAGGCUAAAUAUAGCCGAUUCCAC